rnacentral:lncRNA from 1 species
GCGUGCAGCUGAGGUACUGCGGGCAUCACACGCCUUUAUUACAACAAGGAGGCUGCGGAGAGGCGCUUGGAAGUUCUUGGAACCAGGAAGGGCCCCUAAGUAGGAGGCUCUAGGUGGCUUGUUAUAACUAAAAGGAAGAAUCAGUCUGGGGCAAUUAGAAAGGUCCCCACGUGGUCGCACGAUGCAGAGCUCCAGAAGCACCCUCAGAAUACCUCCUGGGGGUUUCUCAGAAGAGGGAGAGGAUGGUUCACUCCUUCUGGCCAAACCGGACGUGGGCAUGAUACACCAAAGUGGUCACGCAUGUGCCUUACUGUGUAGACAUCAAAAGUUCGAUGGUGUAUGAACGAUGGAUUCUCCUGAGACAAGACAUUUCAGAAUUGUGGGGAUGACUUUGUGGGCUGGCACUUUUCAAGGCACAAAUUCACAUAAAUCACCUAGAUUGUAUUUUCACAACAGACACACAAACACAACCCAGCCCACGACUGGUUGCUAUGUGUGAUUUUUAAGCAAACUCUCGUUGACGAUAAUCUCUGGGGGCUGCCAAGCUGGUUUCCUUCCUGUUGGUAUAAAGUCCCCCAGUGACUCCUUAUCGGUCUUGACUUUCUUCCUAUUUACUAAUAACUUCUCAAUGCACAGCCUAGAGUGAAACAGAACUACAGUGAAUAUAUUUCAAAUAAUGGGAUUUUCGUGUAUAUGCUUCUGGGAUAAUGGCCCCAAAUAUGCCCCUGGGAACAAAUUAACUGCAAAGGUUUGCAUCUGUGAUUCGGAUUUCCUGCUGAACUUGCUUUGAAAGAGCAAAUACGUGUGGAAUGAAGCUGCUUUGUAGGUUUCCUCUUUAUACAAGACCUCCUUUCUGCUUAAUCACCUAGAUUGACUCCGUGAAAGCACAAAUGGAUGUAGUUCACUGAAGAGCAUUUCCGAAACAUGUGUCUUUCCUGUGAUGAUGUAUAAUUAAUCACCUCCAGGCAAGGCAAACAAGUCAAGGUGGCUUUUAAAGACUCUGUCAGUCUUUCUUCUUCUCUUCCUGUCUUGUCUUGUCAGAAGAAUCUGCAACUCUCCUCUGAUUUUCUCUGCUCCGAGCCUAAUGUGACCAUGUAAGUUCCAUCAGUGGCUCCUUUGAACCGCUCUUCACUCCUCUGGAUGCAGAGGCCAAGUCUACACAGCGGAUAACACAGACAAAUAAAUGCAAGGGUCUGAAUCAACACACACGGAAAUCUCUGCAGCUGCCAACCUGCUUCAGUUUCCUUUCUCCUUCCUCUUCCAGCUGGACCCAACCAGGGGCCCUUUACACAACAGUGCUUUCGUUCAUCCUGCCCCUCUCUGGUGAUGACAUCUCUGCAGGAAAAACUCCCCUCUCAGGCAUGUGUAUUGUGGCGAGGAUUCUCAGAGGGCACCUCAGGUUGAAGCCUUCUUUCUUACUGGGCCCAGAAAAGUUCUCUUCUCUGAUAAGACAACUCAGAGCAUCAGUGAGUAGACUGGGAAGGUGUAGAAGCAGAGAUGAAGGUGGUUUCAUCUAUGCUCACUCAUAAAUCACUGUGGCCUUGGCAUUCCCAAAGCAAGUGCGUUGUUACGUGUAGCUGCUACGCAAAAAGCUGUGGAAG